AGUGAACGCUGGCGGUAGGCCUAACACAUGCAAGUCGAACGGCAGCACAGUAAGAGCUUGCUCUUACGGGUGGCGAGUGGCGGACGGGUGAGGAAUACAUCGGAGUCUACUUUUUCGUGGGGGCUAACGUAGGGAAACUUACGCUAAUACCGCAUACGACCUACGGGUGAAAUCAGGGGAUCUUCGGACCUUGCGCGAUUGAAUGAGCCGAUGUCGGAUUAGCUAGUUGGCGGGGUAACGGCCCACCAAGGCGACGAUCCGUAGCUGGUCUGAGAGGAUGAUCAGCCACACUGGAACUGAGACACGGUCCAGACUCCUACGGGAGGCAGCAGUGGGGAAUAUUGGACAAUGGGCGCAAGCCUGAUCCAGCCAUACCGCGUGGGUGAAGAAGGCCUUCGGGUUGUAAAGCCCUUUUGUUGGGAAAGAAAAGCAGCAGGUUAAUACCCCGCUGUUCUGACGGUACCCAAAGAAUAAGCACCGGCUAACUUCGUG
rnacentral:rRNA from 1 species